rnacentral:misc_RNA from 1 species
GACGAACCGUGCGAACGUUGUUCGGAAUCAUUGGGCUUAAAGGGCGCGUAGGCGGAGAUCCAAGUCCCGGGUGAAAGCCCCCGGCUCAACCGGGGAAGUGCCUUGGAAACUGGGUCUCUGGAGGGAGGUAGGGGCACGCGGAACUUCCGGUGGAGCGGUGAAAUGCAUAGAGAUCGGAAGGAACACCGAUGGCGAAAGCAGCGUGCUGGACCUCAUCUGACGCUGAGGCGCGAAAGCCAGGGUAGCGAACGGG